UUCCCACAAUUGGCGCAAGAGAAUGGGC
rnacentral:sRNA from 1 species